UUGUCCUUCCGGAACCGUGCGCCUUCGGUCUCUCAACUGAUCCAAGGUGUUCACAACUUUUUUUUUCUUUUUUCCUUUUUUUCUUGCACUUGAGCCGUCCAUGAGGGCCCCAAUACCCCUUAGCUGUCCUUCCGGACCCCGUGCGCCUUUGGUUUCUCAACCGAUCCAAGGUGUUCAUGGCCUUUUUUUUUUUUGUCCUUCUUCCCCUUUCUUCCUUUUUCCUUGCGCUUGAGCUGUCCAUGUGGACCCCAAUGCCGCUUAGCUAUGCGCCUUCGGUCUCUCAACCGAUCCAAGGUGUUCACGACCCUUUUUUUUUUUUUUUUUUCCCUUUCUUCUUUCCCUUUUUUUUCUAUAUACCAAAUGAAACGAAACUCUAGCAUUAUUGAUACUAGACUUUAUGGUGGAUGUGGAAAUUCAAUAGUUGACAAAUUACAAAAGCUAGAUGAAAGGCUUCCCAACAACGUAUACAGGAGACUAAAUUUAAAAAAAUUGCAAGGAAACCGAAG
rnacentral:lncRNA from 1 species